UCUAGAAACCUCUGGUAUGUCAGAAACACGCUGUCUUCCAUGCGACUUCCUUUGUGAACACCUUUCAUUUAAGAGACUUUUAUGAAUAUAUUGUUUUAAUCAAGUCCCAGAGAACACACUUGCUUUCUGAGCUGCUGGCAGUUUUGAGAGUCCGAUGAUCUCCGAGGGGACCCUGCACACAGUCAUCCAAGUGUUCCUGCCCCCCAGGACCUUCAGAAUUCAAUGGUAGAUGCAGGUGGAGUUGAGAACAUCACCCAGCACCCCCAGGAGCUUCCUCAGAUGAUGGCUGCAGCAGCCGAUGGUUUGGGGAGUAUAGCAGUAGACACAACCCAGCUCAACAUGUCCGUGACAGAUCCCACCGCUUGGGCCACAGCCAUGAAUAACCUGGGCAUGGUUCCCGUGGGGUUGCCUGGACAGCAGCUUGUGUCUG